GACUGGCUGGCCUAAUGGUAAGGCGCUCCUUUCCGGUUUUACAUCAUUGAUCGAUCUGGGAGAGAUUGUGGGUUCGAGUCCCACGUUAGUCU